AUGAGAGACAACGAAGGGGGGGAAGGGGGGCGGACGCCAUGUCUCUUGUGGGGGGGCUGUCGCUGGCGCGCCUCGCGCGCGCAUGUGCACGUCCUCGAAAGCGACAUUCCGUUCACCUCUUCUCUCUCCACACACCCACACCCCCCACCUGUGCACGACCGCGAGGCUUUGCUGCCGUCGAUCUCACGAUUGACAUGCAUCGCCUCGCCCUUUCUUUAUACACACCUUAUAAAAGUACACAUAAGAACGAUGUUUUGCGUGUGACUGUUCUCACACGAAACAAAUA
rnacentral:misc_RNA from 1 species